rnacentral:rRNA from 1 species
CACGUAGGAGGCAAGCGUUAUCCGGAUUUACUGGGCGUAAAGCGCGUGCAGGCGGUUUGGUAAGUUGGAUGUGAAAGCUCCUGGCUUAACUGGGAGAGGUCGUUCAAUACUGCCAAACUAGAGGACGGUAGAGGAAGGUAGAAUUCCUGGUGUAGUGGUGAAAUGCGUAGAUAUCAGGAGGAAUACCAGAGGCGAAGGCGGCCUUCUGGGCCGUUCCUGACGCUAAGACGCGAAAGCAUGGGUAGCAAACGGGAUUAGAUACCCCCGUA